rnacentral:rRNA from 1 species
UACGGAGGGUGCGAGCGUUGUCCGGAAUCAUUGGGCGUAAAGGGCGCGUAGGUGGCGGGACAAGCGUGCGGUGAAAGCCUGGGGCUCAACCCCGGGUCGGCCGUGCGAACUGUUUUGCUUGAGCACUGUAGAGGCAGGCGGAAUUCCGGGUGUAGCGGUGGAAUGCGUAGAGAUCCGGAAGAACACCGGUGGCGAAGGCGGUCUGCUGGGCAGUAGCUGACACUGAGGCGCGACAGCGUGGGGAGCAAACAGG